GAUGAACGCUGGCGGCGUGCCUAAUACAUGCAAGUCGAGCGAACAGACGAGGAGCUUGCUCCUCUGACGUUAGCGGCGGACGGGUGAGUAACACGUGGAUAACCUACCUAUAAGACUGGGAUAACUUCGGGAAACCGGAGCUAAUACCGGAUAAUAUAUUGAACCGCAUGGUUCAAUAGUGAAAGACGGUUUUGCUGUCACUUAUAGAUGGAUCCGCGCCGCAUUAGCUAGUUGGUAAGGUAACGGCUUACCAAGGCGACGAUGCGUAGCCGACCUGAGAGGGUGAUCGGCCACACUAGAACUGAGACACGGUCCAGACUCCUACGGGAAGCAGCAGUAGGGAAUCUUCCGCAAUGGGCGAAAGCCUGACGGAGCAACGCCGCGUGAGUGAUGAAGGUCUUCGGAUCGUAAAACUCUGUUAUUAGGGAAGAACAAAUGUGUAAGUAACUAUGCACGUCUUGACGGUACCUAAUCAGAAAGCCACGGCUAACUACGUG
rnacentral:rRNA from 1 species